GGCCUCGUUGCUCAGUUGGCUAGAGCGUUGACUGUACUUAGGCCUUCCCCUUGCUACCAUGGGUUCGAAUCCCACCGAAGCCG
rnacentral:tRNA from 1 species